rnacentral:rRNA from 1 species
UGGUGGAGUGAUUUGUCUGCUUAAUUGCGAUAACGAACGAGACCUUGACCUCUAAAUAGCUCGCACCGCUCCGGCGGUGUUGCGGCUUCUUAGUGGGACUAUCGGCUCAAGCCGAUGGAAGUUCGAGGCAAUAACA